rnacentral:rRNA from 1 species
GACGAACGCUGGCGGCGUGCUUAACACAUGCAAGUCGAACGAAGAGCGAUGGAAGCUUGCUUCUAUCAAUCUUAGUGGCGAACGGGUGAGUAACGCGUAAUCAACCUGCCCUUCAGAGGGGGGCAACAGUUGGAAACGACUGCUAAUGCCGCAUACGAUCUGACCUCGGCAUCGAGGAUAGAUGAAAGGUGGCCUCUAUUUAUAAGCUAUCACUGAAGGAGGGGAUUGCGUCUGAUUAGCUAGUUGGAGGGGUAACGGCCCACCAAGGCGAUGAUCAGUAGCCGGUCUGAGAGGAUGAGCGGCCACAUUGGGACUGAGACACGGCCCAGACUCCUACGGGAGGCAGCAGUGGGGAAUCUUCCGCAAUGGACGAAAGUCUGACGGAGCAACGCCGCGUGAGUGAUGACGGCCUUCGGGUUGUAAAGCUCUGUUAAUCGGGACGAAAGGCCUUCUUGCGAAUAGUUAGAAGGAUUGACGGUACCGGAAUAGAAAGCCACGGCUAACUACGUG